AUAAAACUCCUUCAUCGUAGCUUCGAUGUAGCUCGUACGCCGCUACCUCUUCUUUCACUCGUCUUCGAUUCCUUUGAGAUUAACUCCAAAUCCUUUUAGCUCUCUCCCUUUCCUCAAAUCGCCUGAUCAUCAACUACUCCUAUAUGGUAAGAGACCCGUAAUCACCUUUUAAAAGAAGCUCGCGAGUUCUUCUUUUCCUUGAUGAUUGACGAAUCUUUGUCUCUCCUGUUGUAGGUGAUGAAUGAUUUGCUUAACCCCUGAGUUUGCUUGAAAUGGUAAUAUAAGUCUCUGUAUCAUGUGGUCUCUUAGAAGCUUUCCUAAUUGCUCUUUACACCUGUCUCCCUUCAGCUCUUGAUAAAGUUACUGUCUUUAUGCUAGUUGUUUAAGACUGUGUCUUAUGAACAAUAUCUUGCUUCUGUUUCAGCCGAGAUACUCGUCUCCCUUCAGCCUCCUAGCUGUUUAAGACGUUCUCUCCGGGUAGUCGUCAAUGUUUCUUCAUUGAGCUUUGUCAUCCGUUCCUCAUACCUUUUCUUCAGCUUCUCCACCUUGAGCUAAAGAUCCCUAUGCCUCGCCUCUCCUUCCCACAGGUAACGUAUCCCUAAACUUUUAAGUUUAUUCAUUGUUGCUAAGAAGUAACCGGAGCACUAACUCAAUACUUCUUCUUUGGCGAGAUUGCUACAAUGACGUUACCUGUGGCGCCUAGCUCUUUUAGGCGACGUUCAAGAGAUCACAACAGUGAUCAAAUUUAGGCCCGGGUAAGGCUUUCGUUAAGAAAUCUGCUGGAUUCUUACUAGUAUGGAUCUUAGAUAGGUGAACCUUGCCUUCUGCUACAACGUCUCUGAUGAAAUGGUAUUUAGUGUCUAUGUGUUUAGUUCUUUCGUGAUGAACAUGAUUCUUUGCUAGGGCUAUAGCACUUUGUGAAUCACAGUGAAUCUUAACACUUUCUUGUUCAAAACCUAACUCUGCACAUAUUCUUCUCAACCAAAUGGCUUCUUUCGCGGCUGCGGUAAGAGCCAUGUACUCUGCUUCAGUUGUCGAAAGAGCUACCACGUCUUGUAAGCUCGAUUUCCAACUCACUGUGUUACCCCAAACUUGAAACACGAAUCCUGUAACUGAUCUCCUUCGGUCGAGGUCAGUUGCAUAAUCAGAGUCACAAAAUCCUUCAAUACUAAACUUUGAGUGCUUAGUAAACGUGAGACUUCUUCUUGUAGCACCUUUUAGAUAUCGUAGAACCCAUUUUACGGCUGACCAAUGUUCUCUUCCUGGUUCUGACAUGAAACGGCUUACGAGUCCUACCGCGAAGCCCAGAUCAGGUCUUGAACCAACCAUAGCGUACAUGAGACUACCAACCGCACUUGCAUACGGUAUGUUCUCCAUGUGCCUUCCUUCUUCUUCCUUUUGGUCUUUAGUAAGACUUUUCAGUUUGAACUGAGUUGAGGUUGGCGUAGUCACUUCCUUAGCUUCAGACAUUCCAAACGAUUUUAGAACUUUCUCCAAGUAGUUCUCUUGCGAUAAUACUAAAGUUCCCUUUGUUCUGUCUCUUAUGAUAUCCAUUCCCAAUAUCCUUGAAGCUUUUCCUAAGUCUUUCAUCUCAAACUCUUUAUUCAAACUCUCCUUGACACGUCUGAUUUCUUGUUUAUCUCCAGAAGCUAUGAGCAUGUCGUCGACGUAUAGAAGUAGGUACACGGCUUGUUCUGAGUUCACGUUUCUCAUGUAAACACAUGGGUCUUCUUUGCUUCUUAUAAACUGUUGGCUUUUCAUGAAACAAUCAAACUUGAGAUUCCACUGCCUUGGAGAUUGUUUCAAACCAUAUAAUGACUUCUUUAAUAAGCAUACUUUAUUUUCAUCUCCUUUCUUUAUGAAUCCUUCUGGUUGAUUCAUUAGAAUUCUUUCUUCCAAGUCUCCAUGAAGAAAAGCUGUUUUAACGUCCAUCUGCUCUAGAUCAUAAUCUUUAUUGACCACGAGAGAUAACAUCAAUCUGAUCGACACAUGCUUCACUACAGGUGAAAACACUUCAUUGUAGUCGAUCCCCUCUUUUUGAGAAAAUCCCUGCGCCACCAAUCUCCCUUUAUACCUCGGUUCUUCAACUCCGGGUAUUCCAGGCUUUAACUUGAAGAUCCACUUGCUGCCUAUGACUUUCGCAUUCUCAGGUCUUUCAAUGAGUGUCCAAGUACGAGCUCUUUGAAGAGAAUCCAUCUCCUCUCCUGCAGCAUUCUUCCAAAACUUGCUUUUCUUGCUCAUCACGGCUUCCUUAUAAGACUUUGGCUCAUCGAUUUCAAUCUCUUCAGAGACAGCUAAAGCAUAAGCUGCGAAGUCAGAAUCUUCAAACCUAGAAGGUGGCUUGAUCGUCCUUCUAACUCUAUCUCGUGCAAGCAUAUAACCCUCGAGCUCCGGUUCUGCUUCUGAGUCUUUAUCUUCUUCUACAGAACUGGUUUCUUCUGAGCUUUCUGAUUCUUCUGUUUCAGUAGCUCCACCUUGAACCAAUGGUUCUUCAGUUGUAGUCGUAGGUAGUGUAGGGCCAUCAAUUAGGUUUUCCUUAAACGUCACUUUCUUUUUCUUCUUUUCUAAAUCUACAUCUUCUCGCUGGGUCACCGUGUGUUUAAACAUCUCUUCUUCAUUAAACACUACGUUCCUACUAGUGACACAUAUUCUCUCUUCAGACAGCCACACUCGAUAGCCUUUUACCCCGAAAGGGUAACCUACGAAGACGCCUUUUACGGCCCUAGGACUUGUCUUUCCCUGAAUCUUAUGAACAUAGGCAGAGCAGCCGAAACUCCUUAAGUGAUUCAACUCAGGUUUUACACCUGACCAUACUUCUUCUGGUAAACGGUAAUCAAUGGCAGAACUUGGUGAUCGGUUAACAAUGUAGACCGCUGUUGAUGCAGCUUCAGCCCAGAAGUCUUCGCCUAAUCCAGAUUCUGCGAGCAUGCAUCUCACCUUCUCCAUGAUUGUCCUGUUCAUUCUUUCAGACACACCGUUUUGUUGUGGCGUGUAUGGACAAGUCUUGUGUCUUUUGAUACCAGAAUCUUUGCAUAGUUUGUCAAACUGUUUAUUGCAAAACUCUAACCCGUUGUCUGUUCUAAGACACUUGAUUUUCUUCCCUGUGCUGUUCUCCACGGCUUCCUUCCAUUCUUUGAAUUUGCUGAAAGCUUCAUCUUUAGAUUUUAGGAAAUAAAUCCAAACCUUUCGAGAAUAAUCAUCUAUGAAGCUUAUAAAGUACUUGCAUCCCCCUAGACUCUCAGGGCUUGAUGGCGCGCCCCAUAGAUCAGAAUGUAUGUACUCCAAAACGCCUUUUGAAGUAUGUUUAGCCGUUGGAAAACUUUGUUUGUGAGACUUUCCUAGAACACAGGUCUCACAAAACUCUAGUUUAUCCACUUCUUUAUUAGACAAGUAACCAUCUUUCACGAGCACAUUCAGAUUCUUUAAGCUCAUAUGUAGGGAUGUCAAUUGGGUUCUCCCGUCCCGUCCCGUCCCGUACCGCUGCGGGUUCGUCUUCGGGCGGGAUACGGCGGGCCUGUCCCGCGCGGGAUGCGGUCUUGAAAAUAGCUGCCCAAUCCCGUACCGCAAUUUUUACAGGCCUUCGCGGGCCGUCCCGCGGGAUAUCGAAUAUUGCUCUGUUUUUAUUUUUCCUGCACAACAAACAUAAACAAGAAUGAGUUUCUGCAUGAAGAAACAACAAACAAGAAUGACUUGAUCAUAGCAAAGUCUCUUUCAUUCACGAAGGUUGUGUUACACUAGUUUUAUAUAUUCACGAAGAGCUAUUGAGAAUAAUCUUUCAGCUGAUAUGAAUGAUUGCACCAUUCUGUUAGACGUGAAUCCAUAAAGAAAAAGAAAAAAAAAACUAAUCUUUUGCUUCACUUGUCCUAUUUGUAACGUUUUCUUUAUCGUUGUGUUGGUAUAUAUUUCAUUGCAACAUGUUAUAUGCGUAUAUUAUCUAAAUGUUAGAACAUGAACUCAAACAUCAAGCCAAAAUAAAAAAAAAACAUAACAUGAACCCGUAGGUCAACUUCAUACAGCUCUUGUUGCUGACUUGAUAAUAGCAAAAUCUCUUUCAUGUUAUCUUAACCAAAACACCAAUGUGAUAAAGCAAAACACAAGAAAUCCCAUAUUUUAAUAAAGCAAAACACCAAAUCAAUAUAAAGCAAAACACCAAAUCAAACUUGAUCAUCUUCAUCUUCCCCAUUGAAGAUAGACUCAAAUGAUGGUAAUUUCUCUUCUUCACCAUCACCAUCGAUUUCUUCAUCUGCAAAUAUCAGAAACUUCUUUUACUAAGGAUAAUGGAUAAUGAUAAUUUUAAAAAAAAUUAUAAUGUGAGUUAUUUACCAUGUGCGUAAGAUUCGUAUCCCUUGAUCCAAUUUCUAGUGCAUAUCAGAGCUUGUACAUUUUUUGGGAGUAGACGGCUUCUAUAUUUAUUCAGAACUCGCGAUCCAAUACUGAAGGAGGACUCCGAAGCCACUGUUGUGAUUGGAAUACUUAGCAGAUCACAUGCCAUUGCAGCCAAGUCACCAUACCGAUGCGCAUUAUCUUUCCACCAAUCGAGGAUGUCCAAGCUCUGAAAAUUAGUAAUGUCCAAAGGUGGUUCUUCAAGAUAAGCUUCUAGAGGUGUCUUUCCACUCACAAUGCCACUGGUUUUGCGAAAUGCAAAGAAAUUCUAAGAAAGUUUUUUCAAAAAAAAAUAUUAGAGAGGAAAAAAAAAACAGAAAAUAAAAAAAAUUGAAAAACACUCACAUUGUAGUUCACAAACAGUCCCAUUGACCCUGCCGCACAUGCUUUUUGCGAAGCAGUCUCACGUGGCUCAGUGGAAGGUGAGUUAUUCUUGGAUUUUUUGUCGUAUGACUCAAACAAAAUACUCAGCUUGUCACGCAGAUUCUUCACCUUUGCAUCACGGGUACUCAUGUCAAGUUUCCCUAAACAACAUUCAACAAUUGAAAGCUUAAACCGUGGAUCGAAGACUGCUGCCAUUGCAAAAACACCACUGACUUCAUCCCAAUAUUUGUCGAACUUCUCUUUCAUCGGUGGAACCAUGUAUCUAACAGUCUCAUCUUCGCUUUCCUCAUUUUUCCGAAGCCAAUCAUGGAUCAUCCAAACCUGAUAGAAAUACAAGUUUGCAGUCGGGUAAUUCGAACCAGACAUCAAGCUUGUGAUCACAGCAAAAGGACCCAAAAAAUUGCAAAUAUUAUCUGCUCUAGUCCAUUCCUCAGCUGUGGGCGCCGUUUUAUAACCCUUCUUAUCAAAUGCCUCCAACUUAACAAAUGCUUUACGAUACUUGAUGGCUCUUUCAAGCAUAUAGUAAGUGGAGUUCCAUCUUGUCGGUACGUCCAGUAUUAGCCAUCCACUUUCUACUACACCCGCAGCAUCCACGCAUUUUUGGAACAACUGUUCACGCGUUUCCGAUCCUAAUACAUACUUAACACUGUCUCUUACUUUCUGCAAAGAGUCUCCAAUAACCUUCAGCCCAUCUUGCACUAUGAGGUUAAGUAUGUGAGCUGCACAUCUCACAUGAAAAAACUCUCCUCCACACAACAAAUCAUCAUUCAAAUUCAGCUGCGAUUUCACAAUAUCCUGCAUCGAGUCAUUACUUGAAGCAUUAUCUAAUGUGACUGAGAACACCUUUUUUUCAAUUCCCCACUCUUUCAGUGAUUCAAGGAGCUGAAGCGCAACAUUCAUACCGGUAUGUGGUGGUGGUAGAGCACAGAACGUCAGGAUUUUGCUGUUCAACUUCCAAUUCCGAUCAAUGUAAUGUGCAGUCACACACAUGUAUCCUUCCCGUUUCAAUGAUGUCCAUAAGUCAGAUGUGAAUGACACUCGUCCAGGAAGACUCCCUAAUUCUCUCUUGAGUGUUUCUCUCUCACUUUCAUAUAAUCGAUACACAUCUGCUCUUGCUGUGUUUCGACAAAUGGUUUGGACAUCAGCAUUCAAAUACGUCCAUGUGUCUCUAACUUUUUGAUACUCCACGUACGAGUAAGGUAGAUCAUGCUGGACUUUUGUCUUAGCUACCAUCUGCCUAAACACAAUAUGAUCAUACUUGCGAGAUAUUACUUUCCCCUCGGUAUUGAGUUGUUGCUGCCCUCCCGUACUCCUUGGAUACAUUUUACAUCUCCGCCGAUGUCUUCUCAACCCACUUGUUCCAUGCGAGUGAGAAUACCAUGCAUACUCAUUCUUGCAAUGAUUGCACACAGCUUUCAAAUCUCCAUUGGGUUUUUCAACCACCGUGAAAUCCUUCCAGACGUCUGAUCUUUGCCUAUUCUCCAUAUCCUCCAAAGCGUUUUCAGCCUCGUCCAACUCAUCUUCUUCCAGUUCAUCAUCAAAAUCUGGUAUCUCCUCAAUCUUUUUCUUAUUCUUUUGCGAUUGAGUAAACACAGCAGGCUGCUGCGAGUGGCGAGACUCGACCCUUUUCUUUUGGGAGUGAGGCACUGGCUUUCUUCUCCCACCACGAAUCACAGAUUUUAUAGGAACAGACUUCUUCUUACUACACGCCUGUGCGGACGAGCCAAUACCUCCAUCUAAAGUGGAUUGGAGCAUGGGUUUCCUAGAGGCUGUUCCAUAACUGGUCUUUCUGCGAGGCUUGGUUGUUUCGGUUGGUGGAGUGAUUUCAACAUCAGAAUCGUCAGUAUCAUCAGUAAGACUGAUAAGCUUUCUUUUCCUUCCUUGCUUCUUUCUGUCAGCACUACUUACACCACCUUCUGCGAACUGAUCAUCGACCUCCUCCAAUGCAGCAAGCGUAGCCAUAACUUGAUGAGUUCCCAAGUCCACAGUAUUUGGUGGGGAGUACUUCGGAUCAAACGUGAACUGUUCUUCUGAGUCGCUUAUUGAUCCCAUUCUCUCUCAAGGUUUUCUGUCGUAGUUUGUUUUUUCGAAAAUUCUAUUUUGAAACCUAAGUUACGGCUGCCUAAGAUACGUGUGUAGGGUUUUUAAAAUAUUAACAAUUAUUUAAAUUAAGUUUUGUUUAAAUUAUAAGGUAACUAAACGUGAGAAUGGGUUUCUCUAUUAAACGUGAGAGUUUCACACAACACAAAAGUACAGCGAAAGAACUACAUUCAUUCAUCAUCCACAACAAUUAUAAGAUUACAAAAAGUCUCUCUAUCUUCUUCAGAUCAGAGUAUCUCAUCUCUCUCUUCUUUGCUGCUGCUUGCAGUGCCGUUUUCACGAGUAUACGUGCAAUCCCUGCAAAAGGACUUGUGAAUCCUUUGAUUCCUCUUCCUCUCUCUUCUUCUCAGCUUCGUUGAUUCAAGAACUAAGCAACCUUCCAAAUUAAAUCACAAGCAAUGAGAAACAAAUUUAAACCAAGAACUAAGCAACGACAUCAAACCAAGAACUAAGCAACGACAACAAAUUUAAACCAAGUUCACAAGUCAGAGAUGGACCGGUAUAGCAUACAUUCAACAUCUAAAGUCUAAAACAAUGCACACAGGGGAAGUAAGAGAGUUUGUGAACGUACAGGCUUGUGAUUUUCUGGCUUGUUGAAUAUCAGACCUGAGGAUCAUCGAAGGCAAUCCCUUUCCUCGUUCCCUGCGCUGCUGCCUCUUCCACCUCUCUCAGCUUAACAAGCCUCUGUUUCAGCUCCUGCAACGAGAACCAACCUUCUUCUCUGGGUGCAAGGAGGCAACAUCUCUUCCAAAAUAAACAACAAUAUUAUUGAUCCUAUAUAUAAGCCCGUGCAAAUCCUAUGACAAUGUCAAUGUCUAGUUGCCAUUAAAAUGAAAUGGCACUAAUAGCGUGAGCAUGGUGAGUGAAGUUUCCUACGAUAUAUCAACACCCUUAGGUAAUAAAACAAAACAUCUUAAUCAUCACCUCAGCAAUGCCAAUGACUACACGUGAAAGAAACAUAUAGCUUCGUUGUGGACUUUGCUUAUCUAAUCUGAUAUGUCUAGAAAAUAUAAAUUAAAUUGACAGAUUAAAGAAGAGAAAAGAAAACCAUUUUUGUUACUAAUGAAAACCAGUCUAUAAAGGAAAUGAUGAGACGGUUUUGUUACCACUGGUGGCUUGUUUGACAUGUUCAUCAGGCUCAGUGUCAACGAUGAGAGUUUGCAAAAUCUCAAAACCGUAAGCAGACAUUGCCUUCUCGAGCUCCUCUUCAACAGCUUUGGCAAUUUCAUUCUUCUGCUCAAACAGACAAGUAAUAGUUAACAAUAAAACCAUCAAAGUUUCUAAUAGAACAGCUCAUAUAGUUUCAAACAUCAAGCCACAAUGAAAAACAGAACAUGAACUAAACAUCAAUUAAAAUCGACUAAAACCGAAGCUAAGCUAAGCACAAUCACACUCACAUCAAGAACAAUGACUUAAUAUCAGAUUAAGAAUCAUCAUGUUUCAAUGGACCAUUUUAUCAUUUACGAAGUACACAUGCAGAAAUUGUAAUCAAAAUAUAAAGUCUAUAAUUCAUGAGAAGAAGAAAUUUAAUACCUUUUGGUGGAACGAAAAGGAAGAGAAGCUCCUCUGCUGCAGAUUGAACACGAUGUGGUCACCAGAAGCAUUGUCGCAUGUCGGACAUCUAACGGCCAUUGUCGGAGCUCAAUCUCUUCCUGCGGCCAUCAUCGGAGCUCCAUCUCUUCCCACGGCCAUCGUCGGAGCUCCAUCUCUUCCCACGGCCAGAGCUCCAUCGCUUCCCACGGCCAUCGUCGUCAUCGCUUCCCACGGCCAUCAUCGUCAUCGCUUCCCACAGCCAUCGUCGUCAUCUCUCAUUCUCUCUCUUUCGUUUUGUUUUCAGGUGACGAAAGCAACUGAAGCUUCUAGCGGUUCAUCUGGGCUAUCCCGCGGUUCAUCUGGGCCAUCCCGCUUUUAACCCGGUACCGUGCAAGCCCCAUCCCGCAAAGCCCGCUUUUUUGCGGGUCAUAAAUUCCUAGGCCCAAACCCGCCCCGCACCAAACCCUUUUGGGCCAGGCCCGCGGUCCAAUACCCAGUUUGCCAUCCCUACUCAUAUGUCCCAGACGUGAGUGCCAUAUUUUUGUCUUGUCAGUUUCUGCCCUUGACACAUUCGCUUCUUCUUUCAUAACUGUUCCUUGCAAGUAAUACAAUCCUUCAUGGUACUUACCGGAUAAAAUCUCUUUCCCAUCUUUGAAGAAACGUAUUAAGAAGUUUUCUCCUUCGUAUUUGCAACCUGCUCGUUCUAGCAUCCCGUAGGAUAUUAGAUUCCUGCUCAUAUUAGGCAUAUAUCUUACAUCUGUAAGAAUAACCACGGUUCCGUCGGGUCUCACGAUCCUUAUCUUGCCAAUCCCUUUGACGUCGCAGUGAGUGUUGUUUGCCAUCAAAACUUUUCCUCCUUGAAAUUCGACUAGGUCAAAUAGAACGUCUUUAUUGGGUGUCAUAUGGAAAGAACAACCAGAAUCCAUGACCCAUUCUGAACCGGCGUCGUGUGUACUAACUGUUAGUACAAAUGGCUGCUUAGGCUCUUCAGCUACAUUAGCAGCUUUAUGCGUUUUCUUUUCUGGACAUUCUCGCUUCCAAUGUCCUUCCUUCCCGCAUGUCCAGCAUCCUUUGUUGUUCUUAUCGUAUCUAGGCUUUGAUUUAGAUCGCCCGUGCCUGCUUUUAGAUCUGCCUUUACCGUUUCUGUUUCCUCCUUUAUUAAAUGAUCUUCCCCUGUCUUCCACGUAUAGUCCUUCAUCUUGUGAUUUUGAAAGCUUUCCACUUUCAAGUAACUCUCGUUCCUUAGACCUUGCGGCACCUGUCACUUCAUUGAUCUUGAGAGUGUCUCUGCCAUAUUUGAGAGUUUCCUUAAGAUGAUCAUACAUACGUGGCAUUGAGUUUAGUAACAGAAUAGCUUGAACUUCUUCUGAGACAUCCACGUUCAAGUUACUUAGGUCUGCUACUAACUUUAGAAAAUCAUCAACGUUUGCAUCUAUGUCCUUAGAAUCGUUCAUCUUGAACGUGUAGAACUUAUGUUGUAAGUAGAUACGAUUCGGCAAAGAGGUUUCUGUGUACAGCGUGUUUAAUGCGGUCCACAUUGCAGCAGCGGUUUCACAAUGGCUGAUCUUCCGUAGAACUUGGUUACCUACGUUGACGAUGAUGAGAUCUUUGGCUUUCUCCGACUUUUCAAGUUUAACGGGAUCAAUUUUUGAGCUUGAUUCCGUAGUUCCAUCUCCUGUGACUUUCGUAUCUCCUUCUGCUUCCUCUUUUGGCGGAUCCAACAGAAGGUUCUCAUCAGUUAGAAUGUCCUUUAGCCCUAGGACUCCAAAGUGAGCCAUCAUACGAACUUUCCACAGCGAGAAAUCUCCAGUUCCUUCGAACCUAUCAAUUUCGAUCCUGGUUUUCCCCAUCCCUUAAGCACCUGCAAUCUAACCUGGAUUGCUCUGAUACCACUUGUUAGGAAUUCAAUCCAACUUGUGCUUAUGGAACUCAACGAUCAAUUUGAUAACAAACUCUGUUCUUGGUUUUAUUAACUUUAAAGGUUUCUUUAGAACACAAUAUAGAUCACAAGACAACUCUUAUGCAAAUAGCAAAGCCUAACUUGUUCUUUCUAUAUCUUGUAUUCUGUGUAUAUUCGGAUAAUCCUAAAAGCUAUGACUACCUCCCUAUUUAUAGUCCCCAGACUUUCCUAUUACUAAUUGCCUUAGCAAUUUAGUUUAACCGACAUAAUAACGUGAAAAGGAAAACUAACGUCUUUCCUUUAUUGUGCAGGUAUAGCUUAUUGGGCUGAGAUUGAGUUUGGCCCAUAUUCUCACAGAGGAGAAAGACAAGAAGAAGAGAGACGUCACAGUUCGAGCAAUAGAGGAUAAUAUAUGAGCUAAUAUUACUCAUUCAAUGGUUCAUAUAUGAGCUUUAUAUGUUAAAAUCAAAGGAAUACUAAUUUUACCAUAUAAACUUGAUACCAUUUCCAAAUUUACUUUUAAAUGAUUAACACUUUCAUAAAUGUCUUACAUUUUUGACAAAAAAAAAGACUGUACUAAUCAUCCUAAAGAAUUUAUAAAACAUUUGUAAAGAUGUGUAUACGUAUGGAAUAGUUUAUUUUUCUGGUAAGCCUCUUAAGUCUUAAGCUUCGCUAUCUGCGCGGAUGUUUGUUUUUACUUUUUUUUUUAUAAAUAAAUAUUUAUUUGUAUAAGUGAUAAUAUAUAUUUUUAAAUUUAUCCGUUCAAAUAAUUGUUUAAUAUAACAUUUUUAAAAAUACUAAUUUUAUAGUUUAUAUUGUGAUUUUUUUUUCAUCAACAAACAGACUCAUAUAGAUUCUAUAGUUUAUAUUGUGAUAUCAUCCAUAUUUUUAGAAUCUGACCAGACGAUUGAGUAAAAACUUGUUAGUAUUAUU
rnacentral:lncRNA from 1 species